rnacentral:rRNA from 1 species
GACGAACGCUGGCGGCGUGCUUAACACAUGCAAGUCGAACGGUAAGGCUCCAGCUUGCUGGGGUACACGAGUGGCGAACGGGUGAGUAACACGUGGGUGACCUGCCCUGCACUUCGGGAUAAGCCUGGGAAACUGGGUCUAAUACCGGAUAGGACCGCACCGUGAGGGUGUGGUGGAAAGUUUUUUCGGUGUGGGAUGGGCCCGCGGCCUAUCAGCUUGUUGGUGGGGUAAUGGCCUACCAAGGCGGCGACGGGUAGCCGGCCUGAGAGGGUGGACGGCCACAUUGGGACUGAGACACGGCCCAGACUCCUACGGGAGGCAGCAGUGGGGAAUAUUGCACAAUGGGCGGAAGCCUGAUGCAGCGACGCCGCGUGGGGGAUGACGGCCUUCGGGUUGUAAACUCCUUCCACCAUCGACGAAGGGUUUCUGACGGUAGAUGGAGAAGAAGCACCGGCUAACUACGUGCCAGCAGCCGCGGUAAUACGUAGGGUGCGAGCGUUGUCCGGAAUUACUGGGCGUAAAGAGCUCGUAGGUGGUUUGUCGCGUCGUCUGUGAAAUUCCGGGGCUUAACUCCGGGCGUGCAGGCGAUACGGGCAUAACUUGAGUACUGUAGGGGAGACUGGAAUUCCUGGUGUAGCGGUGAAAUGCGCAGAUAUCAGGAGGAACACCGGUGGCGAAGGCGGGUCUCUGGGCAGUAACUGACGCUGAGGAGCGAAAGCAUGGGGAGCGAACAGGAUUAGAUACCCUGGUAGUCCAUGCCGUAAACGGUGGGCGCUAGGUGUGGGUUUCCUUCCACGGGAUCCGUGCCGUAGCUAACGCAUUAAGCGCCCCGCCUGGGGAGUACGGCCGCAAGGCUAAAACUCAAAGGAAUUGACGGGGGCCCGCACAAGCGGCGGAGCAUGUGGAUUAAUUCGAUGCAACGCGAAGAACCUUACCUGGGCUUGACAUAUACAGGAUCGCGCCAGAGAUGGUGUUUCCCUUGUGGCUUGUAUACAGGUGGUGCAUGGUUGUCGUCAGCUCGUGUCGUGAGAUGUUGGGUUAAGUCCCGCAACGAGCGCAACCCUUGUCUUAUGUUGCCAGCACGUUGUGGUGGGGACUCGUAAGAAACUGCCGGGGUUAACUCGGAGGAAGGUGGGGAUGACGUCAAAUCAUCAUGCCCCUUAUGUCCAGGGCUUCACACAUGCUACAAUGGUCGGUACAGUGGGUUGCCAGUCCGUGAGGGCGAGCUAAUCCCGCAAAGCCGGUCUCAGUUCGGAUCGGGGUCUGCAACUCGACCCCGUGAAGUCGGAGUCGCUAGUAAUCGCAGAUCAGCAACGCUGCGGUGAAUACGUUCCCGGGCCU